CGGUCGUAGCUAAAUUAACACCGAGAGGUUAAUUAGUUGUUUGUCGUGAGAUCUUAUGAUCUUUGUCACUGAAUCUGCCUCUAGAGCCUCUUACACUU